rnacentral:lncRNA from 1 species
GCGGCUCCCAGGCUCGGGGACGCAGGCGCUGCUGCAGACCACGAGCGCGGAGCUUGGGGAGGCGCAGGCGAAGCUGAUGGAGCAGGAGAGCGCCCUGCGGGAACUGCGUGAGCGCGUGACCCAUGGCUUGGCUGAAGCCGGCAGGGACCGCGAGGACGUCAGCACUGAGCUGUACCGGGCGCUGGAGGCCGUGAGGCUGCAGAACAGUGAGGGUUCCUGUGAGCCGUGCCCUACGUCGUGGCUGCCCUUCGGGGGCUCCUGCUACUAUUUCUCUGUGCCGAAGACCACGUGGGCAGAGGCGCAGGGCCACUGCGCCGAUGCCAGCGCACAUCUGGUGAUGUAGGGGGCCUGGGGGAGCAGGUGCGCAGGAGGAGGCGGCGUUCACCCGAGGGGGCGUGGCCGGG